GACGAACGCUGGCGGCGUGCCUAAUACAUGCAAGUCGAGCGAAGUUUUUCUGGUGCUUGCACCGGAAAAACUUAGCGGCGAACGGGUGAGUAACACGUAAAGAACCUGCCUCAUAGACUGGGACAACUAUUGGAAACGAUAGCUAAUACCGGAUAAUAGCAUUAACUGCAUGGUUGAUGUUUAAAAGUUGGUUUUGCUAACACUAUGAGAUGGCUUUGCGGUGCAUUAGCUAGUUGGUGGGGUAAAGGCCUACCAAGGCGACGAUGCAUAGCCGACCUGAGAGGGUGAUCGGCCACACUGGGACUGAGACACGGCCCAGACUCCUACGGGAGGCAGCAGUAGGGAAUCUUCCGCAAUGGGCGAAAGCCUGACGGAGCAACGCCGCGUGAGUGAAGAAGGAUUUCGGUUCGUAAAGCUCUGUUGUUAGGGAAGAAUGAUUGUGCAGUAACUAUACACAGUAGAGACGGUACCUAACCAGAAAGCCACGGCUAACUACGUG
rnacentral:rRNA from 1 species